rnacentral:lncRNA from 1 species
CGAGGUGGUCUCAAGACUAUAUAUAUCAACGACUCCAUGAUCAACCUCACGAUCUCCUGAUGGCUGGGUGACUUGUUGAGUCUUGGGCAUGCUAACAUUUGAGUUGGUGGAAGGGUUGGCACUAGUCACCUCCAUCUGAAUUCGCCAAACAAAGUUAGGAAAAUUCAACCAAGAUUGGCCAAAAAAAACAUACCUCCACUUCAGCCUUAGAAGUAAUAGUCUGUCCACCAACCUCUGCCUCAAAUAUGGGAGUUCAAGAUUUCUACAUUUAAACUACAAGUUAAGAAAAUACUAGGAAUAAAAUGGAAAAUGUGGUGAGAAGAAAACUUGCCGGAGCAAUCGAAGAGGCAGCUGAUUGUGGCUCGAUGGAGGGAGUUGGGUUGGAUUGUUUUACCAUCCAAGAUUAUUUAUUUAUAAAUAAAAAAUUAAAACAAAAAACUGACCGUACCUAGGGCAAUGGGUUCCUUGGGAUCUUUCUCGAUUGGGCAGGGGUGGUGUCAUCGGUUGGUGGAUUCUUAACAUCAUAGCUGGAGGGGUUCCCA